rnacentral:rRNA from 1 species
UACGUAGGCAGCGAGCGUUGUUCGGAAUUACUGGGCGUAAAGAGUGUGUAGGUGGUGUCGUAAGUUUGGUGUGAAAUCUCCCGGCUUAACUGGGAGGGUGCGCCGAAGACUGCGAUGCUGGAGUAUGGGAGAGGAAAGCGGAAUUCCUGGUGUAGCGGUGAAAUGCGUAGAUAUCAGGAGGAACACCGGUGGUGUAGACGGCUUUCUGGACCGACACUGACGCUGAAACACGAAAGCGUGGGUAGCAAACAGG